GACGAACGCUGGCGGCGUGCUUAACACAUGCAAGUCGAACGGUGAUCUUGGGAGCUUGCUCCUGGGUGAUCAGUGGCGAACGGGUGAGUAACACGUGAGUAACCUGCCCCUGACUCUGGAAUAACUUCGGGAAACCGAAGCUAAUACCGGAUAUGACACAGAGCCGCAUGGUUUCUGUGUGGAAAGUUUUUUCGGUUGGGGAUGGACUCGCGGCCUAUCAGCUUUGUGGUGCAGUAAUGGCUCACCAAGGCAACGACGGGUAGCCGGCCUGCGAGGGCAACCGGCCACAAUGGGACUGAGACACGGCCCGGACUCCUACGGGAGGCAGCAGUGGGGAAUAUUGCACAAUGGGCGAAAGCCUGAUGCAGCGACGCCGCGUGAGGGAUGAAGGCCUUCGGGUUGUAAACCUCUUUCAGUAGGGAAGAAGCGCAAGUGACGGUACCUACAGAAGAAGCACCGGCUAACUACGUGCCAGCCGCCGCAGUAAGAC
rnacentral:rRNA from 1 species